rnacentral:lncRNA from 1 species
ACACUGCUGGGGACAUGAGAGGUUCAGAGCUGUGGAGACCCAUGGCCAGGACCUGGAAGUCUAGUGUGCUACCCUAGAAUGCUGGGGGACCAGGCGUGUGGGGGAACCUUCACCUCCUUUCCAAAUUUGCUGAGGGAUGACCCUGAAGAACGGGCCAGUGUGGAACAAGGAUUUAUGCCAGUGCCCAGCACUGUGCCUGGAAGGAGGAGACACAUGGUUCCCUAGAGCCCCAGACAGAGCAACCUGCUCUACCCACUCCAACCCAUUCAUUCUCUGCUGGACCCACAGCAGAGUCCCCUGGGGACAGAGAUCGGUAGGAUGAUCUUGGGGAUUAUACUAUAGAUGGCUGCCGGGAAUGGUGUUUCCUUCUGGAUCCGAGGGAGCUUGGAGCUGUACCUGCUUUCCUUAGGGUGUAUGAGUGGGCAGUAUCUAGCCAGGGCCUGGGCUCAGCUCCCACAGGAAGCAGCUCCACACCCCCCAGGCAGUUCUACCAGUCCCCUUGCUGGGGUGUCUGUUAGCCUGGACUUGGGACCACAGCUCAGGGAUAUGGCUCCAAAUGCCAUAACCCUGGCUUCUCCCAUGUGCUCAUCCACUUCUAAGCCACAUGAAGCAAGACCAUCAGCUGGCUGAGCAGAACACCCACUGCCCUUCCAGCCUCAGGCAGGAAGUUGCUUAAUGAACUCCUAAAUAGUUACCCACAAUAACCAGAUUUCCUACACAGAGUCUGUGGUUUCCUGCCCUCCAGAAGGUGCUCCCAGCCCUCCUCCCCCAUGUUCCUCACUGCCCAUGAGUCUUCCUGGGCUCAGGUGCACCCCUCCUUCCCUCAACCUCCCAUCUCCUCAUUCUUGCGCUACUUCCUCACUCUUUGCUCUUAUUUUCUUCCUAACCUGUGCCCUUAUUGUUUGUCUGUUUUCUGAAAAUAUUUCCACUCUCAAGGGAUUUUGUGGCUAUCCCUGGAUCUCCUUGCUGUUGCACUAAUAGCUCAGAGGGCAUACCCAUCUUUAGCCCUAACCCCAAUUUCUCCCAGAUCCAGUGAUGUUAUAGUUGAAUGACAUCCCCUUAAAAAGAUAUGUUGACAUCCUAAUCCCUGGUACCUCAAAGUGUGGUGUUAUUUGUAAACUUGCAGACAUAGUUAAGAAGUUGUACUGGAGUACGGUGGGCCCCUGAUCCAAUGCUACUAGUGUCCUUCUAAGAAGACAGCCAUGUGAGGACACAGGCAGC